rnacentral:rRNA from 1 species
UACGUAGGUGGCAAGCGUUAUCCGGAUUUACUGGGUGUAAAGGGCGUGUAGGCGGGACUGCAAGUCAGAUGUGAAAUUCCAGGGCUCAACCCUGGACCUGCAUUUGAAACUGUGGUUCUUGAGUGAUGGAGAGGCAGGCGGAAUUCCCUGUGUAGCGGUGAAAUGCGUAGAUAUAGGGAGGAACACCAGUGGCGAAGGCGGCCUGCUGGACAUUAACUGACGCUGAGGCGCGAAAGCGUGGGGAGCAAACAGGAUUAGAUACCCUGGUAGUCCACGCUGUAAACGAUGGAUACUAGGUGUGGGGGGACUGACCCCUUCCGUGCCGCAGUUAACACAAUAAGUAUCCCACCUGGGGAGUACGAUCGCAAGGUUGAA